rnacentral:misc_RNA from 1 species
GAUGAAGAACGCAGCGAAAUGCGAAAAGUAGUGUGAAUUGCAGAAUUCAGUGAAUCAUCGAAUCUUUGAACACACAUUGCGCCCCUUGGUAUUCCAUGGGGCAUGCCUGUUCGAGCGUCAUUUGUACCUUCAAGCUUUGCUUGGUGUUGGGUGUUUGUCUCGCCUUUGCGUGUAGACUCGCCUUAAAAUAAUUGGCAGCCGGCGUAUUGAUUUCGGAGCGCAGUACAUCUCGCGCUUUGCACUCAUAACGACAGCGUCCAAAAGUACAUUUUACACUCUUGACCUCGGAUCAGGUAGGGAUACCCGCUGAACUUAAGCAUAUCAAUAAGCGGAGGA